UACGUAGGGACCAAGCGUUGUUCGGAUUUACUGGGCGUAAAGGGCGCGUAGGCGGCAAUUCAAGUCAGCUAUGAAAUCUCCGGGCUUAACUCGGAACGGUCAGCUGAUACUGCUUUGCUAGAGUGCAGAAGGGGCAAUCGGAAUUCUUGGUGUAGCGGUGAAAUGCGUAGAUAUCAAGAGGAACACCUGAGGUGAAGACGGGUUGCUGGGCUGACACUGACGCUGAGGCGCGAAAGCUAGGGUAGCAAACGGG
rnacentral:rRNA from 1 species